GGCUUAGUAACUCAGUUGGUUAGAGCGCUAGCAUCACAUGAUAGUGUUGCUGGUUCAAAUCCUGCCUAAGCCA